rnacentral:lncRNA from 12 species
GGCUGGAGCUGGUUUCCAGAAGGUGCUGCGGGCCCAACAGAGCCAGCUGGCUGCGAUCUGCAGAGAAUUCAAAGAGGCGUGGUGGGACUGGAGGUGACAGGUACAGACAUAGAAUUCGAGAGGCGAGAUGAUUAGAGUGAUUUGGCUCUGCAACAGAAUGAAGCCUGGGGAGCAAAGAAGGAAGCAAAUAAAAGGCCCUUUAGGUGUUGAGAGAGAGAGAGAAAGCAGAAAGGAGAAAAGAGGAAAGUCUCAAGAUGGCCCAGUUAUAUUCAAGACCCAAUUGAAGAGGAGAAAAAGCAUUUCCAGACCGUGAGUUGGACCAGACUCUUAAUGAAUAUCAGCACUGGGACCAGUUAGCAGAGGAGAAUGAAAGAAUAAAAGGGAAAAGAACAAGUUAUCA